rnacentral:piRNA from 1 species
AAACCAAAGGAAUAAAAGCAG